GAUGAACGCUGGCGGCGUGCUUAACACCUGCAAGUCGAACGAUGAAGCCCAGCUUGCUGGGUGGAUUAGUGGCGAACGGGUGAGUAACACGUGAGUAACCUGCCCUUAACUCUGGGAUAAGCCUGGGAAACUGGGUCUAAUACCGGAUAGGAGCGUCCACCGCAUGGUGGGUGUUGGAAAGAUUUAUCGGUUUUGGAUGGACUCGCGGCCUAUCAGCUUGUUGGUGAGGUAAUGGCUCACCAAGGCGACGACGGGUAGCCGGCCUGAGAGGGUGACCGGCCACACUGGGACUGAGACACGGCCCAGACUCCUACGGGAGGCAGCAGUGGGGAAUAUUGCACAAUGGGCGCAAGCCUGAUGCAGCGACGCCGCGUGAGGGAUGACGGCCUUCGGGUUGUAAACCUCUUUCAGUAGGGAAGAAGCGAAAGUGACGGUACCUGCAGAAGAAGCACCGGCUAACUACGUG
rnacentral:rRNA from 1 species